CGAAAGUAUACAGCGCCUCAACCGACGCCACACUGGAGGUGACCAGGUUGAUAUUUUCCAGGCUUGCCUUUUUCAACCUAACCAGGGAUCAGGCUCCCAACAUUACGUACAUCGGGGUGAGAAGGACAGCAUUAAACUGUAGCGUCUUCCAGGAUUUUCCUGCUGUGACCCUCAACAAUGUUCCGUGUGAGUUCAAUCCAUCGACGGCGGAGACAGCUACAGCCACACCGAGAGUAAACGGAACGAGAAAGCCAUUUCCAAAUCCUAAAGCCCGGGACCACCCACCACCACCACAACUACUGCUUCUACUACUACUACAAUCACCACCACUGAAUCCUCGACACCGAACGAUACCUGGGUGGACAUGACGACAUCUCUCCCCGUCCCCCGAUAUAGCACGAGAACAGCGCCAUCGACCACCAGGAGAACUAUCUGCACCGAAUGCACUGUUUUCUAUAUAUAUAAUUAAGUUACACCUAAGGCAUCUUUAAUGAAAAUUUACCAUGUACAUGAAAUCGAUCUAUAUCAUCCAUUUGGCCAAGGAGAGAAACCCUUAAUCUAUCUUCUGAGUUAAAUCCAA